UACGGGGGGGGCAAGCGUUGUUCGGAAUUACUGGGCGUAAAGCGCGUGUAGGCGGCUAUGUAAGUCGGGCGUGAAAUCCCACGGCUCAACCGUGGAAGUGCACCCGAAACUGCGUAGCUAGAGUCCUGGAGAGGAAGGUGGAAUGCUUGGUGUAGAGGUGAAAUUCGUAGAUAUCAAGCGGAACACCGGUGGCGAAGGCGGCCUUCUGGACAGUGACUGACGCUGAGACGCGAAAGCGUGGGGAGCAAACAGG
rnacentral:rRNA from 1 species